rnacentral:rRNA from 1 species
UACAUAGGGUGCAAGCGUUAAUCGGAAUUACUGGGCGUAAAGCGUGCGCAGGCGGUUAUGUAAGACAGAUGUGAAAUGCCCGGGCUUAACCUGGGAACUGCAUUUGUGACUGCAUGGCUAGAGUUUGGCAGAGGGGGGUAGAAUUCCACGUGUGAGCAGUGAAAUGCGUAGAUAUGUGGAGGAACACCGAUGGCGAAGGCAGCCCCCUGGGUCAAGACUGACGCUCAUGCACGAAAGCGUGGGGAGC